GGGAAGGUGAGUGGUGUCAGCCUGGUCAUCCCUUAUCUGAAGCGAAGGGAAGACGCUCAGGUGUUUCCCUGUGAGGUUCCGAGGUGAGGCUGUUUGGGAUAGAGGAGCAGUGUGGCAGGUGGGUUCUUGCAAGCACAGUUGUCAUUGUAUGCUUUUGUGUUCCCAGGUGGCGUGGGUGAUGCUGGCCGCUCCUUUCAAGCUUGGACCUAAUUUGCAAGUACAGAGGCAAGUGGCCUGCUGUUUUGAAAGGAUAAAAGUAAAGCUGGGGUCGCUUAUGUUUUUGAGGGUUGGGUGCUACUGCUGGCAGCUGAAUGUUUAUCUUCUGCCUGUGUUUUUCUUUUGUUCAGGGUGAAACGCAGUGUGCAGUGCAGGACCUCUCGACCCAAGCUGCCUCUGCAGUGACUCUGGUGCGUGAUGAGCAGAGGUGGUGUGGAUGAUACUGGCUGCACUGUUGGAGCUUGGAUUCGGAGAGGAAGAGCUGAUGAUGAGCCUGGGAAUUGACUAAGAUGGCAAUCGGUGCCUGUGCAUUUCUUGAGGCGGAGGGACUUUACCAUCCAACAACCUGAGAGCUAAGUUGUGGGGCACCUGGUAUUUGCAUAUCUGGGGUGGCUAAUGGGAGCUGGGAGCCAGAGCAGCAUGGUGCCUGCUGGCUGAAUAGACUUGGUGCCACUGUGAGGGGUGGUUCAGGCUGGGUCACGUUCUGGGUGCUUGUGGCUGGGUCACCAGGCUAAUAGAAGCAGCGGGAUUAUUUUGUAGCGUGAGUGCGUGUGCCAGGCAGGACAGUUUCCUUCAGUUUGUCUGUCCUGUAGUGUUGCUUCUCCAUUGUGUGUUGUGAAUUAUGGUCUCCUUGAGUCUUGAUAUUCUCCUAACUUUUUACACAGGACUGACUAGACAGGCGACUUGGUAGCUGUGCUGAAGGGCCUCAAUGCUUGUUUUGUCAUCAUGGCUCUGAUCCGAGCACUUUUUGUCUUGCAGUUGCUGCUUAAAGUGCAGAUAAGUUUCAGGUCUUGUGAUCUCAAGCUGAAUAUGAUGCACAUCUGUUUCCAUCCUCACUCUUGCAGAAGUCGUCUGGGCCGUAUCAGGAGCUCUUGCUUGGGAAUUGAUUUCCUGAGAGUUGUCUUAGGGGGUUUUCAGUCCCCAUCCUUCUGGUCUCUUGUC